rnacentral:lncRNA from 1 species
CGCGCCGUUGUCCAGCAGGUCGAAGAUCUCGUCGGCGUACUCCUCCACCUUGUCCUGUUGGGCGAAAUGGUGGUGGGAUGGCGGGGGUUCAGCGGCCCGGAAGAACACAGCAGCAAUACAGGUUCAUCCUGUCCGUUGGAGGCCUCCGCGAAGCCCAUCCAGGCUCAGGAGACCCUGAUUGUUGUUUUGCGGUGCCCGCCUCGAUUCACAGAACCGCCCACGGACCUGGAUGUACAUCUUGCCGCCCUUGCGGUUGUUCUGCUCGCGCGACAGGGCGUAGUCCAGGCGGAACUGGCCGGGGUAGGCCUUGGCGAUGGCCUGUGGGGAAACAGAAGAACGCGGGAGGGCGAGAAGGAAUGUAAGAAGGGAAAAGGAAAGGCCGCGUGGCGAAAGCGCAUUCGUCAAGUCUUUACGACUUUGCAGCCGCCGCCCACUGCCAGAAUCCGUCCAGUUCUGCAUUCCGGCCCCUUCUAGCUACACACCCGGUAUCUGUGCUUGCCUGCUGGUUGGUUCCAUUGCUCACUUCCCAAGAAUCGGAGCCAAUACAGGAAUUGGAGCCAAUCUCAGUCUUUCGGUCUAGUACCACGCCCACCCUAACCACCCGCACCAGCCACCCCCAGCAAUCCCCCUUUCCCUCCCCCGCGGUUAACCCCAUCCUUUCUUUCGCCUCAAGGUCAACGCUCCCCGCAUCUACCUGCAGCUCCUCGUCGUACAGCUUGGCGUCGCUGUUGGCCACGCCCAUGAACAGCCAGAACAGGCCGGUGAACUUGUAGCUGGGCACGUUCUCAAUGAAGCAGCGGCGCCAGAAGGAGCGGAAGGGGGCAAUGCCGGUGCCGGUGGCCACGCAGAUCAGAGGGGCGUUGGCGUCAGCGGGCAGCAGCAGCACCUUGCCGGUGGGGCCGGUCAUCGAGAUCUCGGUGCCGGGGGUGGCGUCGCACAGGAAGUUGGAGCACAGGCCCUUCUUGGCGGGGUCCUCCUUGCCGGUCUCGGGGUCCACGUACACGGCGCGGCGCACGCACAGCGAGGCGGUCUGGCCGUCGAAGUCAUCGCCGUAGCGGGACGAGGCGAUGGAGUAGAGGCGGGUGCCGUGGGGCACCUCCUUGCCCUUGGAGUUGAUCUUGGUGCCCUGUGUGGAGGCGAGGAGGGAGGGGAGGACACCGGAGGGAGUGGUGAGCGGACGGGGGGCUGGAAGUGGCGCCGGAUGGCCGCAGGAUGCCCGGGCUCAUUCAGCACGUUAUCGCGAACGUUGCAGUGGGGGAGGCAGCGACGAUGCGAGCGGGUUGGGCUGGGUUGGUGUUGCUGUCGUGGCAGCAUCGCAUCGUGGCAGCCUCGAGCUCCGCAUGUCAUGUUGCAGGGGACACUCACCGGGGGGAUCACACCGUAGGACUGGCCCUCCCAGAAGGGGAUCUUGCCCUCGGUCUCGAUGAUGAUGUGGCAAGUCUCACCAGUGGCCUUGGGGCCGGUGAUCUUCUCCACCGAGCGAACCUUGGCCUUGAAGGGAGCCUUGUUCGAGUAGGUGUUCAGGGGCAUCUGCAAAAUGAAAAAGAGAAAGUCGCAUAUUAGUAAAAUUCUUCCAGCGAGCUCCUGUCCAACGCUGCCAGAGCGACGCUCCCCGCCGCGACCCAUUUUGCGCCGCCCGGUCGUCGCUCCCAGGCACGCGCUCACCUCACCCUCCUCCAGCUUGGUGGGCACGGUGCUGUAGGCAAAGGAACAAGUCGCGACGGGUCAGCUAGGGCGACGAGUAACCCUGCAACCAGGGUGCGACCGAACCUCUAACUCACCGCUUGGACAUAUCGGUGGUCACCGCGGUCGAAGCCUUGGUGGCCGCCACGGGGCGGCACAUGCGGCGGCCAGCCACGCGGGUGGCCUGCAGGCAAAGGCGUCGGCAAGUCGGUGAGCAAGUCGCGCUUGCAGGCGCAUCGGCCCACCAACCCUCUUUGCUACGCCCGCAACCUUGCUGAUCUGUACAAGUAUUGACUUACAACGCCGGAGGCGGCGGGAGCACGCACGGUCUGCAGCCAGAACGAGAGAGGGAGCACGCGAUAAGGUCAGAUGGGUCGAAAGCGCGAGACGGCCUAGCGCCGCUGCAAGACUGGUUGGACUAUUACUUGCCUGCAUGGUUGCUGGGUGUGGGCUUCUAACGACGCACGGGAAAAGCAGUGUUGCAGGAAGGGCUCGGCGCACUUCUCCCCUGCGAGCGAGUACGGGAUGGCGCCCAUUGCGCCCCCUCGCAGGCGAGCGGCCAGCAUUCCGGAUAAGAUCAGCGCGCUCUUUGCUCGCACCGCGCACUAGUUAUCAUUGAUUAAUUACUGUGCAUAACUGGGUUGGCAGGCCGGAGCGAGCAGCAGGGCUUGGCGCCCCCUCGCCGUGGCCCGCAUGCGAAAAUCGGGGUGCCCCCGAAGGGCGCGUUGGCGUUACACGGCGUUACCCAGAACCCUACUUGCUAGGAAGCCAAGUGCAUUGUUUCGAGCCUACUUCGCCGAACAGGGCUCGGCAGACCGUUCCACUCUCCUUGGGUGAUGCCGCUGUUCUCGAGCACGCGUGUUCUGCGUGCAUGUUUCUAGGAGCACGUGACGAAGCGAGGCGUGGGAUGCUGAGCGCGGGGACGCUAGGGGCUGGCCCUGUUCGACUGGGAAGGGGUCUGGGUCGACGGGGCCCGCACGCGUGUGUGUGCGAUGGGACAGGGUUUAGGCAGGUUGGCGAGGUCCCGUAGGGUGCAGCUGACGCCCAUCCCCCUGGCUCGGCGUCUUCGGGUGCUGGGACUGUCCCCUCUGUAACAUCCGCAUUCAUACCCCCAGCAGAUGGCAAGCAAUUUGCGGCGGCAGGGCAGUAGUGCAUGGCUGGUCGAACGCCGGAGUUACUGUACCGACACGUUGCUGCCUGGCUGGAAGUUUGCUGAUGCGCAUUCCUCACGCUCCGAGCGCCCGGCCAGGCGAUAGCACCACACAGACACACCGCAACGCCACACUCGCGAUGCAGAGCCGCAGCGCACCUGCAGGAAGAUGACCAUGCAUGCGUGUGUGCUGGGUGCGCGGGUGCGGCUGAUACCAGGAGUGCUCCUGGCUACCAGGAGCGCCGGUAGCUUUCGUGACCCCUCAUGUGCUGCCCUCGCCGCGUCUCGUUGAAAUCCCACACCAAAGCCGCAGCAUGCAUGCAGGCAACUGAUUGCCAAUACCAAUGAUGCAGCAGCGCCAAGCCGUCCCGCGCUUCCCAUCCAUCUGACGUUACCUCGCCAGCCCGCCAGCAACUUGUCGGUACAGUAACUCCCAGGGUUUCGACCAGCCGCGCGCUCCUGCACUGCCGUUGCAAAUUGUUUGCCAUCUGCUGGGGUUUGGGAAUCAGCUGCACCCUACGGGACUUCACCAACCUGCCUUGACACUGUCCCAUCACACACGUUACCGCGUGCUCCCUGUCCCAAUACCGCCGCCGCCGGCCGCCUCCGAUCGCCUGCUCUAUGCGCUCACCUCCACUUCACGCAUUGACUGCCCCAUCACACUCUACCGUACACUCUGCUCUCCCUCCAUCCUUCAGCUCUCGAGGCAUAAAACAGCAUGACGCCAACGUGCCGCCAAAACCCACCGCCACCAAAUCCAACCGACAGCUGAACCCACGAUGAUGGGUAUUGCAUACAAACACAUUCUCGCUCAAGCACAGCUGCCACCGCCAACGCAAGGCAUGCCGGGGCCUCAAGCGCUGGCCAAAGCCACGCGGCCCGAAGCGUGUGCCGCAGCCGCCGGAAGCGCUGCUGCCGCCACUGGCCGUGUUGCGGGCGGGAUCUGACCGAUGGCGUCGAACUUCUUGUCGUACCGCGGGUGCCAGCGCGGCGCCGGCAGCGGCAGCGGCAGCCGGCGGCUUGUGAACUUCUCCGGCUGCGUCGCACGUGGGACGAGCGGCAGGCGUGGUUAGCAUUGUUCAGCAUUUACAAUUGUGGAUACAGGAGCUGCGAGCUACUCGACCUCCGUGAGGGCUGCUUUGCAAGCUGCAGAUCAUGCCAGGCCGCGAUCCCCGGAUAAACCGCGUCCGCCAAGUCCCCCAAACCGCAGCGCCCAGUCACGCAUCUCGUCGCCAACGCGGCACUCACGUGCAGUACGGCGCCCAGACCCUCGGCUGUGUAGUACACGCGCGUGACGCGGCCGCCGGCGGACUCCACCGCGGCGCGCGUGUCGGCGUCGCAGGCCGUCACCUGCGUGGGCGGCGACACACGGCGACAGGCACAGCACACGCGGACGUCGUGAUUGCAACCCGGCGCAUCGUCCUGGUCGGGUCAAGUGCAGGGGCAUCGGGGGCAUGCGUUCUCCCCCAAGACAAAUCCAUGCCCGCUUCAACGCGGGAUGCCUUGGGCUGAAGAUUUGCUACCCGACCCCAAACCCUCGAACCCCCUGUGCGCUUGUGCUGGGGUUUGGUUUAAUUGGAGGUAGAAUGAACGGACCCCCAUUUGCAUUGGGUUCGGUUUCGUUUGGGCUGGUAUCCUAACCCCCCCCCCCUUUUCCCCGUACCUGCAGGUCCAGGGGUACGGCCAGGCGCGCCUUGCCGUACAGCAGCACGCCGUACUUGAUGUUGCUCGUCACACAUCCGCUGUCGUACAGAUCCUGUUUGGUGGUGGUGGCGUCAUUCAGGGUCGCGUGCCAGAGCGCGCACCGCAGCAUCAGAUUCCAUGUCUGUGGAAUGCGGCGGGGGUCUUGGCCCCCGACCAGUGGUGUUUGAGACUGCGGUGGGCCGUGGAGCCCUGGGCCUUCCCGCGCUGACAUGGCAAGCAGCCCUAGCCGCCACACGCCCCAUGCAGGGUCAGGCCCCCUUCCCUCGUCCUGCCGUCUUCCUUCCUGGAUCCCCCCCGCGGCUGUACAAAGCCCUGUGGCAUCCCUUGCAUGCUUCCCCAACACGCAUACGUCUCCCCGGUCCCCAUGGCGUCUGCACCGGCUCUUGCCUUCAUGGUGAUGGUGCGGCCGGCGUCCAGCAGCCCCAGUUGUACGAACUCCGCCACACGGCUCAGCCCCAGGUGGUAAUACAACACCUCGUACCUGCGGGCGUGUGUGCGGCGCGUGUUUAAGAGCACAAGGAAAACACAGCGCAAAGACAGCGUAUGCGAUGCAGCAAAACGACGGUUUACGGGUUUACAGGAAAGAGUGUGUGUGUGUGUGUGUAUAUGUGCGUGUCCGUGGCAAGCGCGUGGCGGGUGUGCGUGACAGGUAGCGGGUGUGGGGUUUGCAAGUGUGCGCCGCGAAGCGCAUGAUUGAAGAACGCAGAGCAGCAGUGUGGCUGAGCGUGCUGCCACUGACCGCCUGCAACCUGUCAUGCCAUCCUCAAGUCUCACCCAGCCCGGAACCCCCUGCCACUCACGAGGGCCGCUGGCGGGUGACGGGGAACUUGAGCAGCCCCAGCUGUCCGCCGUCGUACAGCAUGUGCAGCCCGCGGCCUGCAUGUGCAUGCAUUCGUGCAUGUAUCGGUACAGAUUGCAAGAUUGGAGGCACACGUGUGAAAACGCACAAUCGAUACGAAGCACGUAUGUGCUUCCCCAACGCCGAAGCCAGCGCACGAGGCCGAUAGCCUCAACUCUGCAGCACUACAGUCUGCCCUUGUCUUGCGCUUCCCCAAGCCACAUGCCCCGUCAUGCGCCAUCCGCCUGCUACACCCUCGCCUGCUCCUCCUCUCAACACGGGCGACGUGACCUACCUCUGGACUUCUGGCCCUUCAUGCCACGCCCGCCGUAGUUGCCGCGCCGAGAGCCAUCACCGCGGCCCACCCGGAUGCGCUACACAUUGUCAUUAAAGGGCAAGGUCAGGAGGUCAGGUGGGCAGGUGGGCGACAAGCGCACAGGAUGAUGGCGCAUGGAGCUACCCGCAGCAGCGGCAGCUGACCUUUCCCCGCGUUUGCAGGCGGCCUGUCACCAGCCAGUGCUUCGCAGCUUAAAAAGCACGAUCCCAGGACAAAUUUAGACUAAAAUAGCUGUCCGUGUGCACGGCGUCGCUGUUUGUACCUGCCGCGUGGCCCCGGGGUUGUCGCGGAGGUUGCCGAGGCCCACAAGGUGGUCGGGCCCUGCCGCCUGCGCCGCGAACCCGCGUGCUUGCUGUGCCUCCCGCGACGCCGCCAGGUGCUGCUGCUGAGGCUGCGCCCCAGAGCUCAAAGUAUCCGAAAUAGACGAGCUGGCUGCGGCCUCGCGCCGCGUCCAGAAAGCGAGACUGGCAAGGCCGCGCGGUGCUCCGGCGGAGGCGAAGGCGCCAGGGCUGUGCUGCGUGUAUGAGCAGCUCGGCGCGCUGGACGCCGUCGCCGCGAUUGUGCUAGCUAUUUGAAAUGUAACAGAGCAUGAUCUUUGGCAUGUUAUCCCCAGCCGCGCCAGCAGCCCGGCUGCAGCGCUGCGAGACAUCAGCGUUGCGACCGGCAGACGUUCUCGUCACGAGGUGGAAUCAGGUAUGGUUUAUUUCUGUUGAAGUGGUGCUUUCAAUUGUGCAACUAUGCAACAAGCGAUCGAAUGGGAGAGCGACAAACAAGGUCCAGACGUGCCGACUGUUAGCGUGUGCCUGUCAUGUGUUUCAUGCAAUAUAACUCAACAAACCAGUGUGAUAGAGUCACUUGCUUUUGGCUCGGUGGGGACUUCCGCUCAUCGAGCCCCAACCCUCAUUCCGCAGUCCCUCGCGGCAAAAUGGCCUAAACCAAUUUCGUUUGUAUUUCGACACGCAUAUCAAACCGCUGGCACUGGAGUAAACAAGCAACCAUGGCCCCCAAGAAGAAGGGAACGAAGAAGGUGUGCCCACUAAGGCAGGCAAGUCGUCCUUAGAGCGACAGUUCUCACCUGGUUCUCGGUUUUGCUGCUGUUCAGGAGUCCAAGAAGGAUGCGGUCGCGACGGGCGACAUCGAGGGUGCCUCGGUGGAGGAGCUCAACCAAAAGAUUGGGACACUGGAGAAAGAGAAGAACAAGGAGGAGGAAUACCGCAACUACAUGCAACUAGAGCGAGUAAGUGCGUGGCUGCGCAGGACCCGCGUGCCACUUCGCAUGCGCAAGGCACGCAGCGCGCUGAACCGUUUCUUUGCCCUCUGAGCACAGGACAAGAUCAAUGCAUUCUGGGAAAUCACAAAGAAGGACCUGGAGGACCGGCGCGCGGAGCUGCGGAACAAAGACCGUGAAAUGGAGGAGAUGGAGGAGCGGCACCAAGUGGAAAUCAAGGUGAGCACUGGUGCCUUGCAAAGGCGUCCGGCGUCGAGGGGAGGGUGGGUAGAGAGUUGUAAGAAGUGGAUGGACACGGGCCGGGGCAACGCACGCGGCGUCACCAGUUUCAAGUGGUCCGCCUGUCCAGCACCAGGAGGAGUGUGCGAGGGUGUUCAGGGUUCGUGUCGCUGCAGCACCGCGCCCAGACGCCCACCUGCCGCGUCUGCAGCCUCUUUUCUUUGCCCUGCCCCACAAACCGUAACCAACCCCAACAGGUUUACAAACAAAAAGUAAAGCAUCUGCUUUACGAGCACCAGAACAACAUCACGACGUUGAAGUCGGACGGCGAGCUAGCGCUAAAGCUUCAACAGGACGAGUACCGCAAGCGGGAGGGGGACCUGGGGAAGGACAAGCGCAACCUCAAACUGGAGCUCAAAGAGCAGGUGGGUGCUCGGCGGCUGGUGCUUGCUGCGGGACUUGGAGGCUUGCGUGCUGGGCAGCAGGAUGUGGGGGCUUGCGUAUGGGGGAGGGGUAGCCGCCCAGGGGAUGGGUGGACACUGGACAGGGACUGACCGGGCAAAAGAGGUGUAAGCAGCCAGGGGAGGAGGUGCUACCAACAACUGGCAAGGCCAGAAGUGAAAAGCAGCAAGUGCAUUCCAGGCAAGCGCAUUCCAGGUGAGACUUCAGCGUUGCGAAGCAGCGCAGCAGUCCGUCAGCCGUGGCCCCAGUUGCGAACGCGGCCAACGGAGGACGCGCAGUCCAGCGGCGGCGGGCGCCAGGCAGGGGCUUCGGCGAGGCGCAGCAGGGAAGGGCUCGGAGGGCAGCCCUCGCAACCAGACCGCGGACAGGAGGCGGCGGGAUCGGACGCGAUCCGGCAGGCGCGGGGCGCCACCCAAACGCGGCUAGCGGCUGCUCAGCUGCGAGGCGGGCGUCGCAUGCGCACACCAGCGCACACGUGCGCACACAGAGGCAGGCGCGGCGCCGGUGCCAUAUGGCUGGGUGGCAGCAGCCGAGCGGUUGACGGAGCGGAGGGAGGGCGCAGGCCGGAGGCGAGGCGCCAGCCAGCCGCUUGGCGGCCGCAUGCGCCACGGCGCCGUCGCGGAGCGGCGCUGUCUGUUGGUACCCCGUAAGGGCGCCGGCUGCAGCAGCAGCAGCAGCAGAAUCACAACAGGCGGGGUUGGUUCUCAGCGCCCUGCUAUCGCAGCAGGCGUGCGGGCAGCAGCACCAGGGGCAGGAGCGCCCGCCAGGCGACCUGCGCCAAUAGCAACGGGAGCGGCAGCGGCGGAUUACGAAACGAAGCCCGGUGCCGCCGCAAUGGCUGACCUGGCGGGAAGGGUGGGGCUGCGGCUCUGCAGUGCUGUGAGCCUGACGGGGGGCGGGGGGGGGGGGCAGGCCCACAGCACGCCAUGCCGUGCCGUGCCGGCAGCGGGCGGGCACGCACGUCGGCCGGAGCCCGAACGAGCACACCCGUGCCUCAGCAGUCAGUACCAAACCGCGAUCACCGCCUUGGUGGGAUCCUUCGCCAGCCCUGACGGAGUGUCGCAGGAGGAUGGCAUCGAUCGCGCACCGGCCUGCCGGCCCCUCCCCCGCCUAGCCGCCACGUGCCCCGCUUCACGCGCCCUUCUAACGCACACGCCGCCAUCCCCAACACACACGCCCACACACCACCUCCACCUUUGCGCAACAGGAGCUGGCGCACCAGGACAUCAUCCGGCAGUUGAAGCUGGAGCACGCCAAGGAGAUCACCAAGCUGCGGCAGGAGUUCGAGCAGCAGGUGGGGGAGUGGGGAAGAGAGUGUGUGUGUGUGUGUGUGUGUGUGUGUGUGUGUGUGUGUGUGUGUGUGUGUGUGUGUGUGUGUGUGUGUGGAUUGGACGGGGGGGAGAGAGAAGAGGGAGAGGGGGACCAGGUGUUCGAGCAGCGGGUGAGGAGCGGGAGGGUCGUGAGAGGUGGGAGGAGGAGAGACGGAGGGAGUAAACCACAUGCGGAGGGGCAGAGGGGAGGGGCGCCAGGUUUCGAGUUCGAGCAGCACGUGGGCGGCUGUGGGAUUGUGUUUGAGAGGCAAGAGGCUUAGGAGGUGAGGGGGCACUUCAGUGGCGGGGCGCGCGGAGAGGGGUGGAUGGAGGGCGGAAAGAGCGGGGCGAUAGGGGUGAUGGACGGGUGGCGGGAGGGCGGGUUGGAGAGAGGGCGCGGGCCAUGAGAAGGGAGGAACGGCGGAGGGAGGAAAAGACGAUGUGUGGGCAUGUGGAGCCGGCGGAAUGGGUCGUGUGUUGGUACCAUGGGAAGGGGCUGGGAGUUGCAUUAGCGAGCCGGCACCAACCUGCAACCCUCGUCUGCUCCUCCCCUGCCCUGCACAGGCCAAGGACCUGCAGAGCAAGUACGAGAAGAAGAUGAAGAUGCUGCGAGACGACAUGGAGCUGCGGAGAAAGCAGGUGCGUGUGGGGGAGGGGGAAGCAUGCGGGGCAGGGGACACGAGCUGCGGAGAACGCAGGUGGGCGGGCGGGAGGGGGCAGGCACGCGGGCAGGAGGCGGAUACAGGCUGCGCAGUGCUGCACAGAUGGGGCGUGGGUGACGAGGAGUGGGGCUGAGCGUGGCACACAAAGGAGGGGUUGGAGUUGGCGGCCGGUGAGCGGGUUUUGCCAUUCUCACACACGCCGCCGCUCGCCCCUUCCCUCCUUCCUUUUACAGGAGAUCCACGAGAUCGAGGAGCGCAAGAACACGCACAUCAACGAACUGAUGAAGAAGCACGAGCGCGCCUUCGCAGAGAUCAAGAACUACUACAAUGACAUCACACACAACAACCUGGACCUGAUCAAGACGCUCAAGGUGCUUUGGUUUUUUUGGGGGGAGGCUCUAAAAAAGCAAACUCUAAAUAUGCUGUGCUGCACGACAAGCCGCCGGGGCUUCAGGAGUGGGGCUGUAUCAUGCAGUAUUCCAAAGGGAAUGGGGUUCCGCUGCCUCUUGUCCUCACUUGCCCUGCCACCUGCUAGUGACCUGAUCCCUGACCGUCGCUGAUCUCUGGCCUCACCUCCGACUUUGGUAAACCGUUGCCGGGCGCGCAGGAGGACGUGGCGGAGAUGAAGCGGCGCGAGGCAGCCAACGAAAAGCUCAUGUACGAGAUCGCGCAGGUGAGCGCAGUGCAGGGCAGGGCGGGCGAGUGAGGCGAGGCAACGAGGGAGCGAGGGCAUGAAAGAAAGCAUUCCAAGCAUAAAGGCAUACUGCAAAAUGGGCCGCCGCGCCCCAAGCUCGGCCCCAAGCCGAGCCCAAUCGUCUCAAACCCCACAAGCACACGAGAACCUUAAAACCCCAACCUUCAAACACCCUCUCAUGCACAUUUUCACACAUGCACACACCCCCUAAACAAAAACAACCCGCUUUUUGAAACAGGACAACAAGAAGCUGUCUGAGCCGCUGUCGCGCGCGCUCAAGGAGGUGGAGCUGCUGCGGCAGCAGUUGGCCAACUACGACAAGGACAAGCUGUCACUGGCGCAGGUGCGUGUGGGGUGUAUGAAGGGGAAAUAUAGUUGUGUGUGUGCGUGGUUGUGUGUGUUUGGUGGUGCGGGUGCAUUCUGUACUGACGUGUGCAUUUAGGUGACGGCAUGAUGGGGUUGCGCCAGGGUGUGAAUGGCGAUGAAAGGCACCUGUUCAUGAACGGCCCCCUGCCGGGCAAACGGCAACGCCCCAGACCUUUGCCUGACACUCACACACGCCCUGCCCCUGUCUUUCUUUCCCUCUCUCCACACGCUCUCUCCACACACGCACAGACGAAGGCACGGCUGCUGAACGCGGAGCGGCAGAUCAAGAACCUGGAGUGGGAGAACGAAGUGCUGUCGCAGCGCUUCAGCAAGGUGCAGACCGAGCGCGACGAGCUCUACGGCAAGUUCGAGGCGUCCAUCUACGACGUGCAGCAGAAGACCGGGCUCAAGAGCGCGCUGCUGGAGAAGAAGGUGGGAGGAGGAGGAGGAGGAGGAGGAGGAGAGGGUGGAGGGAGGAGGAAAGGGAGGAGGGAGGAGGAGGAGGAGGAGGAGAGGGGCGGGGAUGGGGAUACAUCGCCGCGCCUACAAAGGUGCCCGCCUUUGUUUGCGGUCGCUGCAACCUCGACACACAUAUCCACGGGCCUUUGUGCUUUCUAACGUACACACACACGGCGCCACCUGGGCUGGCUUCGUUACAUUGUUAUUACACACACCAUUAUUGUGCUCACUAACACACGCACAUGCUGCCACGCGCCCCAACAGGUGGAGGCGCUGGGCGAGGCUCUGGAGAUGAAGGAGGCGCAGCUGGCGGAGGUGCUCACGGCCGCCAACCUGGACCCCGGCACCCUGGCCGCCAUCAACCAGCGGCUGGAGGAGGUGCUGGACAACAAGAACCAGGUGAGGGGAGGGAGGAAGGAAGGAAGGAAGGGAGGGAGGGAGGGAGGGAGGGGCGGAGGGAGGGAGGGAGGGAGGAAGGAAGGGAGGGAGGGAGGGAGGGAGGGGCGGAGGGAGGGAGGGAGGGAGGGAGGGAGGGGCGGAGGGAGGGAGGGAGGGGCUAAUUGCUGUUUCUUUGAAGAAUGGUGAAGACGGCCACCCCACUAUUCCACCCCAUGGCUUCGGGUUCAGGCUAUGGGUCUCGGUUAUUUAUAUAGAGUCUCUGGACUCUGGGGGAUGCAACUGAGCUCAGUUGCAUCCCCCACCCACUCCCGUUUUCACCCACCCACUCCCCUUUUCACCCACCCAGUCCUCUUUCUGCGCACCCGCCCACCCACCCAACCAACCAACCAACCAACCGCCGCAGAUCAUCAAGGCGCUGCAGUACGAUGUGGCCAAGGUGUCCAAGGCGCACAACGACCUCAUCCGCGUGUACGAGGCCAAGCUCACAGAGUUCGGCAUCCCGGUGGACGAGCUGGGCUUCCGGCCACUGGUCACCAACACCAGCACCGGGCCCGCGGGGCUGGUGGUGGGCGCGUGAGGCAGGCGGUGUGGGCGGCGGCGGUUUGGGCGGCGGCGCUGUGGGAAUGGGGAUGGGUGCCGGGGAUGCAUGAAUGGACUGGCUUUUGACGGUGCCGACUGACGUUGGGCUGUGGGACGUGGUGAUUGACAAUGACAGAGAUUGAACUGCGCGUGCGUGUGCGUGUGUGUGUGUAGGACAGGGCGGCGGCGAUGUAGUGGCAUGGACGGUGCGGUGGUGGAGGUGUUGCAAGAUUCUGGCGGCGGGCUAGGUCUUCAAUGGGCUGGUCUGUCCCGUGCUGUGCAGUGCACACGCGGCACAGGCGUGGGCCACAGCACUGGGUGUAGGAGGGUAGCUGUGUUGACACGUGUUCGCGACGUGCGUGCACCUGUGCGUGUGUAUGCGUGUGUGAGGAAGUAGUAGUACCGUAGAAGCGGCUGGGGGCAGCGGGCAACCGGGUUGGGACCCGGGCCUCCUGCGCAGGAUGAGGCGGGUCGCAAUGGAUUCCCAGGGCGGGCCUGCUUGAAGCCGUUAAAGGCAGGGGCUAGAUGGGUAGGCUGGUGUCGCAUGCACGUCGUCUGGAAAGGAACUAGCAGGUAGGUAAAGGACACGCCGGUGGCAAGCAGGCUGUGGGGUGUGCCAACACAAGAUGGUUAGAUGGCCGGAAAGAAGGAAUACGCAGUGAGAUCCAUUCUGCCGCUGCGUUUUGAGUUACGCAUAAUUAGCAUUCCUUGUAUGGGUACUUGGAACUGUUGGCAGAGACUGUGUGCUGCACCCUCUCUGUCAAACACCAAAUGGACACAUCUGUGCCUGGUCACGACGCCUGGUCUUGGUCUGUCCUUCACCUCCGGUUCUGGGCGCCGCCCAACCGCCGCGAAGCUACCUCAAUGCACUAGCACAGCCACUUUGCCAGUGCGACCCCGCGCAGUGCUCUCACCCGCACCCUACCGCUGAGAACGCUUGUCCUCAACUGCCUUCUCUUUAGGCGCGUAGCCACUAGCCGCUGCCCAAUCUGCGCCCAAGGGCUUUGCUGCCCCGGUGCUACGGGCCGCCACGGCCUCACCCCACAAGGACAAUUUUAGUCUUUCUAAACUAAAAUAGAUUUUGAAGUGGGUGGCGGCUAUAGGCCUGGGGAGGCCAGAGUCCAUGGUGGGAAGUCUGGGGGUUUGGUGGCGUGCUUGGGUUUCGUGCUCCUUGCGAUUGUUGGCGUCAGGUAGAACAGCGUGGUCAGCGAUGUUUUCCGUAGUUGUUUCGCCUGCGCUUAGGUUGGCAGUGACUAGCGAACAUGUGUUUGGUUUUUUAGGGGCUCGUUCACUCUCGUCGAACGGACAUGGCGAACUCGUCACUGCCUGUCCACCGAAUUAUCUACGCUUAGCGACCAAAGGAUUGGUGUCACAAUAAAAGGUUGCUGCGGCUGGGUUGCCAGGUCGGCAUAUCGCGCGCGAUCGCGCUGGGUGGAGAUCCGGGACCAGUCGCUCGUUGUCUGUGCCAGGGAUCAGUAUGGGGGUGGUAUGGCCCAUGCCAGGGGUUGGGCCCAUGCCAGCGGGCUGGGAGGCUGGGAGGCUGGGCUCCAGCUCGGCCCCGCCGCAGCCCCGCUGUCUUUAGGGGGACGGGGAACCCCCCGAAGCCGCCGCGAGGAGACGCGUUGAAGGGUGAGCAAGCCGUUGCAGGGUUUGGGCAGGGGAGCAAGGCCAGGUCGGGAAUGGGCCGCUUAGUUUCCUCCUUUUCCGGCGGCCUCCGGGUGACCAAGGCCCCCGGUCGGCACUGCCGGGUGACCAGAAGUGAGCCCCAACGGCCUGCGGGUGAGAAGGCUACCGGCAGCACACCCGGUAUACAAACAUGUGCCCCAGUAGCGGUGGGCGACCUCGCCCCGGCAGCACACCCGGUAUACAAACAUGUGCCCCAGUAGCGGUGGGUGACCUCGCCCCGGCAGCACACCCGGUAUACAAACAUGUGCCCCAGUAGCGGUGGGUGACCUCGCCCCCGGCAGCACACCCGGUAUACAAACAUGUGCCCCGGUGGCGGCGGGUGACAAACGCCCCGGCUGCAGAGAGCCGGCUCGCUAACACCCUUGCCAAGGUGCUGCCACCGACAGGGAUGUGAGGGCGGCGCGAGUCUAUGCGUCGGCGGGCAUAGGCAAAUGCGGAUCCGGGUGGGGGAAGGUCUCUGCCCGGCGGCAGGCGCAGCGGCGCACUACGCUGGCGCCAUCGUCAUACGCAGAAGCGCAGCAGCAGGUGUCGGCCGGGCUAAACGGGGAUUUCCAGGAGCGAGGGGGGGUGGCGCUGGCCGCCAUGCGCGCGCUCAGCCGCGAUGCGUGCCUACUUCAAGAUCUCAGUACGGUGGAAGCAGCAGGGGGUGACUCGCAUGUGAGGAUCGGGUUGGGGGGUAGGUUUCUGCGCGGCAGCGGUAGGCGAGGCGGCUGCCGGGCAGACACGCAGCAGCAGCCCAAGCGGGGGCUGCCAGGUGGCCAAGGCGCGCACGGCGCAGCGGCGCUGAGCAGGCCAACACUCCCCCAAUCGUUAUUUGCCUGCUCCCGGGCUGGCACGCACGUGUAUGCUUUGGGCCUAGACAUUAGAGGCUGAACGGCUGGAGAAAUGAGCGGCCGUACUUAGGUGGCUAGUUGCGGUAGAAUGGUUGGGCAGGGCUAUGAGUGUAAUGGUGAGGCGGGUGUCUGUGUGCCGGCGUCUGUGCCCUGGCAUCCAGCAGACGUAAGACGCCAGCCCAUCUCAAAGGACAAUUUUAGUCUUUCUAAACUAAAAUAGAUUUUGAAGUGGGUGGCGGCUAUAGGCCUGGGGAGGCCAGAGUCCAUGGUGGGAAGUCUGGGGGUUUGGUGGCGUGCUUGGGUUUCGUGCUCCUUGCGAUUGUUGGCGUCAGGUAGAACAGCGUGGUCAGCGAUGUUUUCCGUAGUUGUUUCGCCUGCGCUUAGGUUGGCAGUGACUAGCGAACAUGUGUUUGGUUUUUUAGGGGCUCGUUCACCUCGUCGAACGGACAUGGCGAACUCGUCACUGCCUGUCCACCGAAUUAUCUACGCUUAGCGACCAAAGGAUUGGUGUCACAAUAAAAGGUUGCUGCGGCUGGGUUGCCAGGUCGGCAUAUCGCGCGCGAUCGCGCUGGGUGGAGAUCCGGGACCAGUCGCUCGUUGUCUGUGCCAGGGAUCAGUAUGGGGGUGGUAUGGCCCAUGCCAGGGGUUGGGCCCAUGCCAGCGGGCUGGGAGGCUGGGAGGCUGGGCUCCAGCUCGGCCCCGCCGCAGCCCCGCUGUCUUUAGGGGGACGGGGGACCCCCCGAAGCCGCCGCGAGGAGACGCGUUGAAGGGUGAGCAAGCCGUUGCAGGGUUUGGGCAGGGGAGCAAGGCCAGGUCGGGAAUGGGCCGCUUAGUUUCCUCCUUUUCCGGCGGCCUCCGGGUGACCAAGGCCCCCAGUCGGCACUGCCGGGUGACCAGAAGUGAGCCCCAACGGCCUGCGGGUGAGAAGGCUACCGGCAGCACACCCGGUAUACAAACAUGUGCCCCAGUAGCGGUGGGCGACCUCGCCCCGGCAGCACACCCGGUAUACAAACAUGUGCCCCAGUAGCGGUGGGUGACCUCGCCCCGGCAGCACACCCGGUAUACAAACAUGUGCCCCAGUAGCGGUGGGUGACCUCGCCCCCGGCAGCACACCCGGUAUACAAACAUGUGCCCCGGUGGCGGCGGGUGACAAACGCCCCGGCUGCAGAGAGCCGGCUCGCUAACACCCUUGCCAAGGUGCUGCCACCGACAGGGAUGUGAGGGCGGCGCGAGUCUAUGCGUCGGCGGGCAUAGGCAAAUGCGGAUCCGGGUGGGGGAAGGUCUCUGCCCGGCGGCAGGCGCAGCGGCGCACUACGCUGGCGCCAUCGUCAUACGCAGAAGCGCAGCAGCAGGUGUCGGCCGGGCUAAACGGGGAUUUCCAGGAGCGAGGGGGGGUGGCGCUGGCCGCCAUGCGCGCGCUCAGCCGCGAUGCGUGCCUACUUCAAGAUCUCAGUACGGUGGAAGCAGCAGGGGGUGACUCGCAUGUGAGGAUCGGGUUGGGGGGUAGGUAUCUGCGCGGCAGCGGUAGGCGAGGCGGCUGCCGGGCAGACACGCAGCAGCAGCCCAAGCGGGGGCUGCCAGGUGGCCAAGGCGCGCACGGCGCAGCGGCGCUGAGCAGGCCAACACUCCCCCAAUCGUUAUUUGCCUGCUCCCGGGCUGGCACGCACGUGUAUGCUUUGGGCCUAGACAUUAGAGGCUGAACGGCUGGAGAAAUGAGCGGCCGUACUUAGGUGGCUAGUUGCGGUAGAAUGGUUGGGCAGGGCUAUGAGUGUAAUGGUGAGGCGGGUGUCUGUGUGCCGGCGUCUGUGCCCUGGCAUCCAGCAGACGUAAGACGCCAGCCCAUCUCAAAGGACAAUUUUAGUCUUUCUAAACUAAAAUAGAUUUUGAAGUGGGUGGCGGCUAUAGGCCUGGGGAGGCCAGAGUCCAUGGUGGGAAGUCUGGGGGUUUGGUGGCGUGCUUGGGUUUCGUGCUCCUUGCGAUUGUUGGCGUCAGGUAGAACAGCGUGGUCAGCGAUGUUUUCCGUAGUUGUUUCGCCUGCGCUUAGGUUGGCAGUGACUAGCGAACAUGUGUUUGGUUUUUUAGGGGCUCGUUCACCUCGUCGAACGGACAUGGCGAACUCGUCACUGCCUGUCCACCGAAUUAUCUACGCUUAGCGACCAAAGGAUUGGUGUCACAAUAAAAGGUUGCUGCGGCUGGGUUGCCAGGUCGGCAUAUCGCGCGCGAUCGCGCUGGGUGGAGAUCCGGGACCAGUCGCUCGUUGUCUGUGCCAGGGAUCAGUAUGGGGGUGGUAUGGCCCAUGCCAGGGGUUGGGCCCAUGCCAGCGGGCUGGGAGGCUGGGAGGCUGGGCUCCAGCUCGGCCCCGCCGCAGCCCCGCUGUCUUUAGGGGGACGGGGAACCCCCCGAAGCCGCCGCGAGGAGACGCGUUGAAGGGUGAGCAAGCCGUUGCAGGGUUUGGGCAGGGGAGCAAGGCCAGGUCGGGAAUGGGCCGCUUAGUUUCCUCCUUUUCCGGCGGCCUCCGGGUGACCAAGGCCCCCGGUCGGCACUGCCGGGUGACCAGAAGUGAGCCCCAACGGCCUGCGGGUGAGAAGGCUACCGGCAGCACACCCGGUAUACAAACAUGUGCCCCAGUAGCGGUGGGCGACCUCGCCCCGGCAGCACACCCGGUAUACAAACAUGUGCCCCAGUAGCGGUGGGUGACCUCGCCCCGGCAGCACACCCGGUAUACAAACAUGUGCCCCAGUAGCGGUGGGUGACCUCGCCCCCGGCAGCACACCCGGUAUACAAACAUGUGCCCCGGUGGCGGCGGGUGACAAACGCCCCGGCUGCAGAGAGCCGGCUCGCUAACACCCUUGCCAAGGUGCUGCCACCGACAGGGAUGUGAGGGCGGCGCGAGUCUAUGCGUCGGCGGGCAUAGGCAAAUGCGGAUCCGGGUGGGGGAAGGUCUCUGCCCGGCGGCAGGCGCAGCGGCGCACUACGCUGGCGCCAUCGUCAUACGCAGAAGCGCAGCAGCAGGUGUCGGCCGGGCUAAACGGGGAUUUCCAGGAGCGAGGGGGGGUGGCGCUGGCCGCCAUGCGCGCGCUCAGCCGCGAUGCGUGCCUACUUCAAGAUCUCAGUACGGUGGAAGCAGCAGGGGGUGACUCGCAUGUGAGGAUCGGGUUGGGGGGUAGGUUUCUGCGCGGCAGCGGUAGGCGAGGCGGCUGCCGGGCAGACACGCAGCAGCAGCCCAAGCGGGGGCUGCCAGGUGGCCAAGGCGCGCACGGCGCAGCGGCGCUGAGCAGGCCAACACUCCCCCAAUCGUUAUUUGCCUGCUCCCGGGCUGGCACGCACGUGUAUGCUUUGGGCCUAGACAUUAGAGGCUGAACGGCUGGAGAAAUGAGCGGCCGUACUUAGGUGGCUAGUUGCGGUAGAAUGGUUGGGCAGGGCUAUGAGUGUAAUGGUGAGGCGGGUGUCUGUGUGCCGGCGUCUGUGCCCUGGCAUCCAGCAGACGUAAGACGCCAGCCCAUCUCAAAGGACAAUUUUAGUCUUUCUAAACUAAAAUAGAUUUUGAAGUGGGUGGCGGCUAUAGGCCUGGGGAGGCCAGAGUCCAUGGUGGGAAGUCUGGGGGUUUGGUGGCGUGCUUGGGUUUCGUGCUCCUUGCGAUUGUUGGCGUCAGGUAGAACAGCGUGGUCAGCGAUGUUUUCCGUAGUUGUUUCGCCUGCGCUUAGGUUGGCAGUGACUAGCGAACAUGUGUUUGGUUUUUUAGGGGCUCGUUCACCUCGUCGAACGGACAUGGCGAACUCGUCACUGCCUGUCCACCGAAUUAUCUACGCUUAGCGACCAAAGGAUUGGUGUCACAAUAAAAGGUUGCUGCGGCUGGGUUGCCAGGUCGGCAUAUCGCGCGCGAUCGCGCUGGGUGGAGAUCCGGGACCAGUCGCUCGUUGUCUGUGCCAGGGAUCAGUAUGGGGGUGGUAUGGCCCAUGCCAGGGGUUGGGCCCAUGCCAGCGGGCUGGGAGGCUGGGAGGCUGGGCUCCAGCUCGGCCCCGCCGCAGCCCCGCUGUCUUUAGGGGGACGGGGAACCCCCCGAAGCCGCCGCGAGGAGACGCGUUGAAGGGUGAGCAAGCCGUUGCAGGGUUUGGGCAGGGGAGCAAGGCCGAAACUCGGGAGUAAUUCCGGCAAAACUCGGGAGUCCACUGUCUCGCGCCCAUAAGUCGGUCGACCUUUGCGCACCCCUGCAUAUGUAAUGCUCCUGUUUUCUGUGCUCUAUUCAAUGCACCAAAAGCCAGCCCAGGAGCUGCAUGCUGGAGCCCANNNNNNNNNNNNNNNNNNNNNNNNNNNNNNNNNNNNNNNNNNNNNNNNNNNNNNNNNNNNNNNNNNNNNNNNNNNNNNNNNNNNNNNNNNNNNNNNNNNNGAGGCGGCUGCCGGGCAGACACGCAGCAGCAGCCCAAGCGGGGGCUGCCAGGUGGCCAAGGCGCGCACGGCGCAGCGGCGCUGAGCAGGCCAACACUCCCCCAAUCGUUAUUUGCCUGCUCCCGGGCUGGCACGCACGUGUAUGCUUUGGGCCUAGACAUUAGAGGCUGAACGGCUGGAGAAAUGAGCGGCCGUACUUAGGUGGCUAGUUGCGGUAGAAUGGUUGGGCAGGGCUAUGAGUGUAAUGGUGAGGCGGGUGUCUGUGUGCCGGCGUCUGUGCCCUGGCAUCCAGCAGACGUAAGACGCCAGCCCAUCUCAAAGGACAAUUUUAGUCUUUCUAAACUAAAAUAGAUUUUGAAGUGGGUGGCGGCUAUAGGCCUGGGGAGGCCAGAGUCCAUGGUGGGAAGUCUGGGGGUUUGGUGGCGUGCUUGGGUUUCGUGCUCCUUGCGAUUGUUGGCGUCAGGUAGAACAGCGUGGUCAGCGAUGUUUUCCGUAGUUGUUUCGCCUGCGCUUAGGUUGGCAGUGACUAGCGAACAUGUGUUUGGUUUUUUUUUUCCCGCCCGCCCGCCCCUUCUGCUAUGUGGUUUGCGGUUGCUUUGUGCUUCGCUUUUCGUUUGCUGUUGACGUUUCUUGCGUGCUGGUUGCUGGGGGGUAGGUUUCUGCGCGGCAGCGGUAGGCGAGGCGGCUGCCGGGCAGACACGCAGCAGCAGCCCAAGCGGGGGCUGCCAGGUGGCCAAGGCGCGCACGGCGCAGCGGCGCUGAGCAGGCCAACACUCCCCCAAUCGUUAUUUGCCUGCUCCCGGGCUGGCACGCACGUGUAUGCUUUGGGCCUAGACAUUAGAGGCUGAACGGCUGGAGAAAUGAGCGGCCGUACUUAGGUGGCUAGUUGCGGUAGAAUGGUUGGGCAGGGCUAUGAGUGUAAUGGUGAGGCGGGUGUCUGUGUGCCGGCGUCUGUGCCCUGGCAUCCAGCAGACGUAAGACGCCAGCCCAUCUCAAAACGCUAGCUCCAGGAAGAGUGAAGGUCAAGGCUGAAAUGGCUUUGGCUCGUAGGAGUGCCAGAAGAUAAUGCUGGCUUGGCCCAAAAUCGGUCGGCCACUCGGCCCAAUCCUUGCUCACAGCACCGCGCAUGCGCCAUGCAUCCGUCUGUUGCGCCAUCUAUCAAUUUGAAGUCUUGCAACCGUAGUUUUGUUGGCAGCAGCACAUACCGAAAGCAGAAUAAACACCACUCGGCGAAUUCAUCCGUCAGCCCCUUGCAUUCGCAUUACCCCGCCCAGCCGCCCCUGUACGGCACGGCACUUGUUACCGCACGGCGGGCGGCUGGUGCUUCACAUGCACCACGUGCGGUUGCUGCCCCGCCCCCUGCCCCUGCCCCUGCCCCUGCCCCGCCUGCCCCGUCGCGCCGGCUCCCGCCGCCGCCUGCUGCUGCGCCUGCUGUGCCGCCGCCGCCGCCUGCUGCGCCUGCUGCGCCUGCUGUGCCGAGCUGCUGAUCAUGGCAGCCACCAGAUCGCUGUACGCCACGGCGGCGUGUGUACGGCUGUACGGCUGACCCAUCAGCCCGUACUUCUCGUACGCGGGCCGAACGAUGUCCAGCCUGUGAGCGUUUGAGAGAAUGAGAGAUUUUGGGGUAUUGUUGGGAAUGCUGCCAGGUUCUCAACGCCUUGCAAGUGCCAUACAAGACGGCACAUGCCCCGUGCAAGCAACUCGUGUCAACGGCGCUAGAACAGCAGUGCGCAGAGCCGAAGCCGCGUGCCGGCACAGCCCCGCCUAAGCCGCACGACUUCGCCGUCGGCUACCCACGCCACACGUUCUGGGUUUCAUUUGGCUACCGGUCUCGGCGGCGACCAGUCCCAACCGGCCCCCGCAAUCCCAGACACCGGGCGACACCGCACCGUGCAUCCCUUCCCUUGCAACCCCUCACACCCCCUCACCCCCCCACCACUUCCUUAACUAAUCAUGAAUGUAACCCCCCGCCACUCACUGCAGCCCCGCCACGCCGCCGCCGGCCGCCGCCACCGCGCCUGCCAGCGUCUGCCUCAGCAGCUCCACGAAGUCGCCCACAAGGCCAUCGGCGGCGCCCAUGGACGACACCGGCACAUACUCCAGGUCCAAGCAAUACCCCAGCAGCGCCUGUAUCAAAAAGCACAAGGAAAACGUCGCGCAACGACAGCGCCUGUGCGGAUGCGUGUGGUGUCCCGUUGUGAUCGAGGGUGUUGCCAUAUGUAGUUUGUGUUGCAUAUGUCAUGAACUCGCAAGCGAAGGAUGCCUGAGUCUGCAUGUUAAGGUUUGGUUUAGUGGGCGGUGUAUCAGCUGGCAGUCGUGGGCGAAGGUGGCUGGGGCGUGUGUGGGGGUUGCACAUACCAGCCCAAACUAAACCGAACCCAAUGCAAUAGAGCGGGGGUGCUUGAAGGGGUGCAGGUCCUGUCUGCUGGCGCCGUGUGGUGGUGUGUACAGGUGUGUGGCAGCCACCCGGCCACCGGCGACCCCGGUUCCGGACCCCGGAGCUCCCUACCUGUGUGGAGUGAAUGGCCUGCGUGGCGGUACACAGCCGCAACGUGAAGUCGCCUUUGGUGUAGGUAGACCCCUGGUGGUGGUGGUGAUGGUGGUGGUGGUGGUGGUGGUGGUGGUGGUGGUGGUGGUGGUGGUGGUGGUGGUGGUGGUGGUGGUGGUGGUGGCGGUGGUGGCGGAGGCGAGGCGGGCGAGGCGGGGGGUAGGCAGUCAACGGUUCCGCAAUUCAGCAGCUCCACAACACAGGGCAAGCAAUCAGACCCCCUACCGCCAGCCGUGCGCCUCACCAGCAGCCUUGCGCAUCAUCCAGAUCACGUGUGCCGUUGCCCCCCGGGUCCCAACACGGGCCGUGCGCCAAUAAGCCAAAACCGCGGCGUUCCCCCAUUCUGCAUCUGCAGCCCAGCACACUUUCUGGGGCUUGAACUUGGAUUCUCAUACGGUUCCAUCCACUUCGCUACUGCACCUUACAGCCCACCCCCCAACCCCCAAAUCAUACCACCCGCCAGCGCAGCGCCAGUGACUACCCCCCCCCCCGCGCCUGGCCCGGCCCGGCCCUCCCCACCUCCAGCCGCACAGUCAUCUGCUUCGCGUACUCGAGCUUCUUCUCAAUCAGCCGGACCAUGCGGAUGUCGCACUCCAGCGCCUGUGCAGGGGGCGCCAGUUUGUUGGAUGAGUACUGAGUGAUGAACACUCCUCCAGGGGGCGGGGUUUUCAAGAGCACACACAUCGUGCCCAGUCCCCUAUCUUGUAUUUCCUACCACACACGAUGCGAAGUGCUGUUGGCCCGGUGAGAGAGGGCUGUGUGGGGACAGCGCAGUACACACCCCUCCCAAAGCAGGCCGGGGGACUGGCCCGCACGCCGGCCCGUGCUAGCCUUCGUCAACUCCCAACAGCAUGGCCCCUGCACACCGUAGCCCCGGGGCGGGCAGGAGCAACGCGCGCCUCAGGCCUUUGCCCGCCAGCCCCGGCCACCCAGCCCGUCUCAUGGGGGGUUGCAUCCUGGGAAUGGUGAAACCUCCACACCUCGCUCCCACACACCUAAACCCCGUGCCUAAACCCCCACGUUCACACUUCACACACUUGCACACACACACUUGCACACACACACACACUUGCACACACACCCACACACACAUUUGCACACACACACACACACACACACACACAUACAAACACAACACAACACUACACACGCACACGCACACAAACGCAGCAACACGCACCUUGAAUUCCGGCCGGACCAACAAGUACACCAGUUCCGGCGAGUCCCGCAGCGCCACCGCCCACAUGUCUCGGAGCCCACCGCCCGCGCCGCCGCCACCCGCAGCCGCCGGGCCGCCCAUGCUGCCCACCUGCGGGAUGAGCGCCCAUCGCGGCGUGGCGUGGCGUGGCGAUUGGUCCCCCAAAUCCCCAGCCCGUGCAGCCCAAGUCGCCCGAACCCGCACUCCCCUGGUACCAGUGGUUGAGCUCUAGCCCACGGCCCUAGCCCCCUAGAAACGAAUCGGUGUGACGGCGGCGGCGAUGCCGCCAGCAAGCAAGCUGCGUGCUGGCUGACGCUGGGUGCCCGGUUCGCUCUAGGGAGUCCCGCGUGGGUCAGGUGUUUCCGCUGAUGCCGUACGGCACAAAACAGAGCUACAGCCAGCGCGAUGCAUCCGCGUCCCCAACCCAUCUUGCACGCACACAGGGGGGCCCCGACGCCAAACUUGCCCCUCCCCUCUAAGCACAAGAUCCGCGACCAGGCGCCGCCGGCACGCGUGUCAUCCCAACGCGCGUCGCCCCGCCACCGCCACCGCCACCAUCGCCGCCGCCGCCGCGGCUGCGGCUCCCGGCACUCACCACACCAUGCCCCUGCUUCAGGAGGUGGCACGACACCGACCACGAAUCGGACCAGACCAGGCUGCAGCACAGCUCGUCCAGCACGCGCUUUAUCAGGUCGUGGUGGGCUGGGCCCGCGCCGCCCUUCUGCAGGUGCGCGCGCAACAGCCUGCGACAACGGGAGCCGGCAGGCGCGCGGAAGAGGGCGGGUUUGGCGAGGGAGGCCAGACGCCCAGGUCGACCACGAGCGCUAUAUGGGCCGCUGUGCACUUACAGCUUCACGCCCAUGGUCCCAGGUGCGUUCUAUUGCGCCCGGCACUGCCGCUAGCUUGCUCGUCGCAUAGCAGUGGAAUCGAUCGGUGCCGGCGUUCAAUGAAUGAAGUGUCACUGAUGAUCAAAGUUCCAGUAUGGGCAUGAAUAUAAUUUUAAGAUUGUCGGUUGCGAGUAACAAGCUUGGUUAGCGCAAGUGUCAACUGUUUGGUGGGGCUAUGAACGAAGGGAUCAAAACCUUGUGAAUUAGCAGCUUCUCAAAUGAAGCAAGAAUGCAGUACAUACAGUAACAAAACAAAACGAGGACAGACAAAUUCCAAAACACAAUUGCGUACUAGCCUGAGCCCAAAACACAAUUGCGUUAGCCUGAGCCCAAAGCCAUUCUACGCAGUACGCACUUACACAAAGAAUUGCUGUUGUUGCAUGCAUGCAUACUGCAUUGAGCAACUUCAACAACACUGACCUCUGCACGCUCAAUCCUUCUGCUCCAUCAACUCCUGCUUUCGUCUUUAUUAGCUCGCCCGUGUGGGCCGUGGCGCCUCACUAGCAACAACAUGAGCCUCCUAACCGCGCUGGGCGUCGCGCACGUUGCGCUGCCCGGCGCCAGUGCGACCGGGCUCCUCCACGCCACUGUUGCACGCGUGGCUCGGUUGCUGCCACUCCACGUCUCUCCGCCAGCGCCCGGGUUUCGGGCCUUACAAAAACAUAGUUCCCCUGCCCCCGCAUCUUCUGAUUCGGCUGUGCCGGUGGUGCCGGGCACCUUGUUUCGAAUCCAGGCGGGCGCCAACGAGGUCCGGGUGCAGCACGUGGCGGGCUGGAGCGACGUUGCCACUGUGCAGGUGGGGAGCUGAGGAGCUGUCAGCAGGGGAUGAGGGGAUGAGGACUGGGGGGGGGUCACGAGGACCAAACCCAACACGUUCUGGGCUGCACUGCCUGAAGAUGCACGUUCACUGAGGACUGUAGGUGCUGAGGACUGUAGGGGCCUGAGGACUGGAGGGGGGUGUGAGGACUGGAGGACUUGUUGUUGCACAUCGACAGAGAAUGGUUUACAACACAUUCUCGCACGCCGCAGGGGCAGCCGGGCGCUGGCAGCAGCAGCACGGCUGCGGGGCAGUGGCGCGUCGAGGCGGUGUCCGCGGAGGCUGCUUCAGCCGCUGCGGGCGGCGGUGUUGCUACAGCCGCUGCGGGAGGAGGGGCUGCAGCUACAGCCGCCGAGCAGACUGGCGCGGGCUCGGGCUUCACCGGACAGCCCAAGGUGUCGCUGCGAUAUGGUGGGUUCAAUAUGAAUUGGGUUGGAUGGGGAUAGUAUCGUUGCCUGGCACGAGAAACACGCGCCCGCACAGGUUCGUCACGACUUCACGAGUCCAUGCGAACAUGCUUUCAUUAUAUCGGCCCCCGCCUGUACGUAUUUUACAGACGUCACGCGUGCUCAGCAGGGCCGCGGCGGCGGCGGGGAUGCCGGGGGCGGGGGUGGUGUGCUAACGCUGUCAGUCCCGGAGAAAUGGAUCAGUCUGGAUGUUUCUACGCAAGGUGCGUACUCAUUGCCAACACACGCCAUCCAGUCGUGCCAUCCAGUGCCAACAGCAAAUCUGCUUGUUCAAAGCCGUGUUGUGCUGUCUUUCCCGAAUGCCACCCCAUUGCCUGCCAUCUCUCAGCCCCCUUAUCCCAAGCUGUGCCCCGUAUCCGGAACACACAUACGCACAAACGUUCCGUUUCCCCUCACACACAGCCCGUACACGCGCACACACAGCCCGUACACACACACACGCACCACCGCCGCCAACCCGCACAGGCGCGCCGCUGUCCGUGUCGCGGCUGGUGGAGGCUGACCUGGCCGCCGUCACCGCCGGCGGGGCCGUGCGGCUGGGAGCCAUCCGGGGUCUGGACGUGCACGUCGACACCACCCACACCACCCCGAACGAUACCGGCUCGGUAACGGUGCGUCCUUUUACUGUUGUUUACUGGCUAAUAUUCCCACUGAAUCCUGACUGCUGGCAUUUAUAUGGCACACCUUGCCGACAAGGCCGCACCCAACUCGAUGCUGUCACACUUCUUCCAUUGUUUCAAGUCACCUCCGCGUGCGGCAGGGCGGGGACGUCAGCGGCACGCGAGUGGCGGUAGCCGCCGGCGGCGCCAUCGACCUCCGACGUGUUGUGGGCGGAGUCAUGGUCCUCACGUCGUUGGCAUCUCCAGCAUCGCCCUCGGCACCUGGGUCGGCAUCCGCUGCGGCAUCUGGGUUGGCGGUGUCUUCCGCCCCCCCGGCAUUGGCUGCAUCUGGGUCGGCAGCAGCCAUCGCAUCUGCCGCCUCGCAUUCGAUUCCGGCGGCUGUGGUGCGGUUGGGUGCUGUGUACGGCUGCUCGCUGCGCCUCAGCACACGUGAGUGGUGCGGGGCUCCGCGCGAGGGAGGGCCGUACAUGAAGGCGAGACAGCGGGGGCGGGAUGAGGAAGGGGCGAAGCAGGGCGUGCGACACGAAAGCGCAGACGGCCGGGGGCAAGCCGAGCACCAGUGGAUGGACGAAGAGGGCAGGCUGAGCCCCAGCCGCCGCCUCGGCGCCUCACACACACCCUCAACCUUCGUUUUGUUGUUUCUUGUAAUUCCCUUAACCGAGCCCACGUAUCACGACCGCAG